ensembl:lncRNA
GCGGCCUCGGCCUCCUCCGGGCCGCACCGCCUCCGGGAAGGGAUUUCGCCCCACAUCUCCCCCUUGUAGCCCUCCUCCCCUGUGCUGUCCCCGGUGCUGUCCCUCCUUUGCUCCUCCGUGCUUUCUGCUGCUGCUGUUCCUCGGGUGGUCGCUCCCCUCAUCUGUGCACUGCACGCUCCAAAGUGCCCGAGCCCGAUGUCACCUGAGAAAGGAGAGAGCAGUGGGAACUCCCAGAGCCACUGGAGAACCUUCUGUGCUGCUGCCUCGGACCCUCUCCUGCAGAACCCACAUCCUCCUCCUGUGCUGGAGCACGGAUUGAAAUCACUGGUAUGUGUAGGAUCUUAGCUUAAGCCUUGUCCGAUUAUUCCGAUCCUAAAAUAAAGCCAAAGGCUCAGAACCAGUCAUCUCAGUCACAUCUCUGAGGGUCUGCAGCUCUCAUACAGCAUCUGAGCAGAGAUCUGCCAUUCUGCAAACCACUUAUUGUCCCAUUCCAGGCAAUUUUCUGUUUGCCUCAAGUGUGGUACGUGGGCCUCAGGUGGACUCAGACUCCUUUCUUGAGACACUGUGCGAGAUUUUGAAACCCAGCAGAUCUUAAAAGUCAAUUUGCAGCAGCACUCUGUCCACACUGUACUCGGUCCUGCAGGAAGAGGCACAGUGCAUCCUCCCUGUGAUCUGCAGCCUCGGCACAAAGACGCAGUUAAGUAGGGCAGCGGCAACAGACAAUCAGCAGAACAGCUUUGUGGGUUAUUUACACAGAGCUCAGCCCAGCUGUGGCUGCAGGCUCUG